rnacentral:rRNA from 1 species
UACGUAGGGGGCAAGCGUUGUUCGGAAUUACUGGGCGUAAAGGGCGCGUAGGCGGCAUGGCAAGUCGGGAGUGAAAGGCCUGGGCUCAACCCAGGAACUGCUUUCGAGACUGCAAAGCUAGAGUGCGGAAGGGGCAACUGGAAUUCCCAGUGUAGCGGUGAAAUGCGUAGAUAUUGGGAAGAACACCGGAGGCGAAGGCGGGUUGCUGGGCCGACACUGACGCUGAUGCGCGAAAGCCAGGGGAGCAAACGGG